rnacentral:ncRNA from 1 species
CCCGGUUUUGGUUCCCCCGCGAGGGGGCUAAGAGGGAAUCAGGUGCGAGUCCUGAACAGUCCCGCUGCUGUGAGUUCCAGAGAGCAACACAGCUUUUAAUCGAAGGUCACUGUGGCGCCAGCAGGCGCUGUGGGAAGACCAAAAGCUGGGAAUCGAAAGAUUCCCUAGGGGUCAAUGGGUCCCUGGUGUGGAACAAGUCAGAAGACCUGCCAAAGCUA